UGUUUCGGCAAGGGGGUCAUCCCGACUUACCAACCCGAUGCAAACUGCGAAUACCGGAGAAUGUUAUCACGGGAGACACACGGCGGGUGCUAACGUCCGUCGUGAAGAGGGAAACAACCCAGACCGCCAGCUAAGGUCCCAAAGUCAUGGUUAAGUGGGAAACGAUGUGGGAAGGCCCAGACAGCCAGGAUGUUGGCUUAGAAGCAGCCAUCAUUUAAAGAAAGCGUAAUAGCUCACUGGUCGAGUCGGCCUGCGCGGAAGAUGUAACGGGGCUAAACCAUGCACCGAAGCUGCGGCAGCGACGCUUAUGCGUUGUUGGGUAGGGGAGCGUUCUGUAAGCCUGUGAAGGUGUGCUGUGAGGCAUGCUGGAGGUAUCAGAAGUGCGAAUGCUGACAUAAGUAACGAUAAAGCGGGUGAAAAGCCCGCUCGCCGGAAGACCAAGGGUUCCUGUCCAACGUUAAUCGGGGCAGGGUGAGUCGACCCCUAAGGCGAGGCCGAAAGGCGUAGUCGAUGGGAAACAGGUUAAUAUUCCUGUACUUGGUGUUACUGCGAAGGGGGGACGGAGAAGGCUAUGUUGGCCGGGCGACGGUUGUCCCGGUUUAAGCGUGUAGGCUGGUUUUCCAGGCAAAUCCGGAAAAUCAAGGCUGAGGCGUGAUGACGAGGCACUACGGUGCUGAAGCAACAAAUGCCCUGCUUCCAGGAAAAGCCUCUAAGCAUCAGGUAACAUCAAAUCGUACCCCAAACCGACACAGGUGGUCAGGUAGAGAAUACCAAGGCGCUUGAGAGAACUCGGGUGAAGGAACUAGGCAAAAUGGUGCCGUAACUUCGGGAGAAGGCACGC
rnacentral:rRNA from 1 species